GAUGAACGCUAGCGGCAGGCUUAACACAUGCAAGUCGAGGGGCAGCGCGAUGUAGCAAUACAUUGGCGGCGACCGGCGCACGGGGGCGUAACACGUAUGGAACUUACCCUUUACUGGGAGAUAGCCCGGAGAAAUCCGGAUUAAUAUCCCAUAAUAAACGAAGUGGCAUCACUUUGUUUUGAAAGCUCCGGCGGUAAAGGAUGGCCAUGCGCACGAUUAGCUAGUAGGUGAGGUAACGGCUCACCUAGGCUACGAUCGUUAGGGGGCCUGAGAGGGUUAUCCCCCACACUGGUACUGAGACACGGACCAGACUCCUACGGGAGGCAGCAGUGAGGAAUAUUGCGCAAUGGAGGCAACUCUGACGCAGCCAUGCCGCGUGCAGGAAGAAGGCGCUACGCGUUGUAAACUGCUUUUAACCGGGAAGAAACCCUCCGACGUGUCGGAGGUUGACGGUACCGGAGGAAUAAGCACCGGCUAACUUCGUGCCAGCAGCCGCGGU
rnacentral:rRNA from 1 species